UACGUAGGGCGCAAGCGUUGUCCGGAAUCAUUGGGCGUAAAGAGCGCGUAGGCGGCCCGAUAAGUCCGCUGUGAAAGUCAAGGGCUCAACCCUUGAAUGCCGGUGGAUACUGUCGGGCUAGAGUCCGGAAGAGGCGAGUGGAAUUCCUGGUGUAGCGGUGAAAUGCGCAGAUAUCAGGAGGAACACCAAUUGCGAAGGCAGCUCGCUGGGACGUUACUGACGCUGAGACGCGAAAGCGUGGGGAGCAAACAGG
rnacentral:rRNA from 1 species